AUAUGCUGUGUCCCGAAGCAAGUAUCUCUGCAUGUCUGAGGACUGACAUCAUAGCAACCACAUUCUCUGAUCACUGUGCAGUUAGAAACCAUUAACUGAACAAUAACGAGAAAAGUCCCUUUCCCUAUCACCACACUUCAAAAUCCAAAUUCCAGGAAAUCAAAUGACUCCUCUUCAGGGACACCCCAUCAACCCUUCAGGACCACCUGCCCAGGACAACAGGGAAAAAGCACCAGCCUCAUCCUGUGGAGGUUUUCCUUAGACAGACACAGGGACUCUUUUCAGAUCCUGCCUUGGACACUGCUACAUGAAAAGUGACUGAAGUUGGGCCAGCUCGAUAGGGCACCACGCUCUGUCACCAGUGAGGAAGAGGCAACCUUGAAGAUGAAAGCCAUUCACUCACUGAUGGUGGCAAUACAGAAAAAGCAGAAGCCUGGUGCAAGCCCUGCACCUUCUUCAGAUGCAUUGCUACAUGAGAGGAAGAAUGUCUGAUGUGCAUCAUGCAUCAUGGUUCUCAUUAGAUGGUGUGGUGCAGCUUUUUGUUCUACACUGAAUGAUCUCUACAAAUCACACAACGAGGAAUACAGUCAUCUGAGUAUGGGCAGCAAACUGUUUUGCCUUGCCUGCCUAAGGCACCUGAUUGGUCUAGUAAAGAGAUGAAUAGCCAAUAGCUAGACAGAAAGAAUAGGCAGGGCUAGCAGGCAGAGAGAAUAAGUAGGAAGAGAAAUUUAGGCUUGAGAGGAGAAACAAGAGAAGGAGGAAAGAACUAGGAAGAUGCCAGGGGCCAGAAGCCAGCAGAUAUGAGAAGCAGAUACAAGAUGAAAGUUUGAUACACAGGAGGGGAAAAAAAAAAGUAAAAGGCCCUGAGGCAAAAGGUAGACAAAGAGAAACAGGUUAAGUUAAAAGAGCUAGGCAGAAAAGAGACAAGCUAAGGCCAAGCAUUCAAAACUAAGAUGUCUCCGUGUCAUGAUUUGGGAGCUGGUAGGUAGCCCAAAAGAAAAAGCCUGGCCUGGCAUCCGUUAUGCACUAUGGUAAAGAUGGCCUAGGAAAGCUUCCUACCCACUUUUCUUAGAACACAAGGAGCUUCAGUGAUGACCUCACUCCUCCAUGUCACAUCAAGGAGAAACUGGGAGGCAACAGUGGCUGAGAUGUGUCCAAUUUUUAACCCAACAGGGUCAGAGGCCAACCAAGAUUCCUAACCUAGCCUCAUCCCAGGAUGGAUUAAUGAAAACUCUUAGUCAUGGGGGCCUUGUUAAUUAAGGGUCAGGGAGUGUUUCCAUUGACGCCUCUUCAUAGUCCACAAGCAUUACCUCAGCCAUAUCUAGAAAGCCUGUCCACUAAAAUAUGCACACAUAAAUCAGACUGUCUGGUAGCCACAUUAAGCAAAAGGAAAUAAAUACAAUUGAUUUUAAAUUUUACUUAAUUUUAUGUUUUCAAAAUAGUGCCAUUUGCUAAAAUUACUCUUUAUUUAUUGCUAAUGUCAGAGAGCAUAGGUGCACAUGAGUGCAGGUAGGUUCCCACAGAGUCAGAAGAGGGCAUCAGAUCCCCUGGAUCUGGAGUUACAGAUGGUUGUGAGCCACCAGAUGUGGGUGCUGGGAAACAAGCUGGGUCCUGUGAAAGAGCAGUAUGGACUUUUAACCACUGCACCAUCUCCCCAGCCUCAUCCUUUGCCUGUUUCAAAAAUUGGGGGAGGGGAGGUCUUACUUUGACUUUAUUCUCAUUGAGUCUAUUAAAUACAUGCGUUCUUUGUUAAAGAUGAA